rnacentral:rRNA from 1 species
GAUGAACGCUAGCGGGAGGCUUAACACAUGCAAGUCGAGGGGCAGCAUAGGGUAGCAAUACUCUGAUGGCGACCGGCAAACGGGUGAGUAACGCGUAUGCAACCUACCUGUACAGGGGGAUAACCCGGAGAAAUUCGGACUAAUAUCCCGUAAUAAUAUCCGGAGGCAUCUUUGGAUAUUAAAGUUCCGACGGUACGGGAUGGGCAUGCGUAACAUUAACUGGUUGGUAAGGUAACGGCUUACCAAGGCUAUGAUGUUUAGGGGUCCUGAGAGGGAGGUCCCCCACACUGGAACUGAGACACGGUCCAGACUCCUACGGGAGGCAGCAGUGAGGAAUAUUGGACAAUGGAUGAAAAUCUGAUCCAGCCAUGCCGCGUGCAGGAAGGCGGCCCUAUGGGUUGUAAACUGCUUUUGUACGGGAGCAAUAAGGUCUACGAGUAGAUUGAUGAGAGUACUGUACGAAUAAGCAUCGGCUAACUCCGUG